rnacentral:lncRNA from 1 species
CAGACCUGUAGGGUUGAUAAAUCUUCUACUCAUGACAAAAUAAACAAUGGGCAAAAUAUAUACACAAAAAAACAGAGACCAAAAUAAUGAUCAAGGCAGCAAUUCUCAGAAACAUAUAUAUGUUUUAUAUGGUAAUUGUCUUAACAUGACAUAAUUUACAUCAAUUUGCCCAAGCAGACAUGAUUUGUCUGCCAUUUACAAGCACAAAACGAUUGACAAUUGCCAAUAUGUAACUAUGUCCUCAUUUGGUGGAACUCUUCAUGGGUUGUCAUCUUGUUUCAUCCCUUGUUCAUGCUCAAGCUCCAUUUCAGCAACCGCUUGCACAAAAAUGUGAUCUUUUUGCUCUUGUUUUUGUGCUGAUUUAAUUAGUUGGGACCCCAGCAGCUCAAGUACAUGACUGUCCUCAAAGACUCCUCUGAUUUCUUCAGCUUUUCAUCUCUGACUUUACCCAAAGCAGCUGAGGCAGAAGAAGAUGAGAGCUUGUUGUUGGCAUGAGAAAAUGACCUGAGUUGGGUUUUGGCUUGUUGGUGCACAGAUUUUAAAGCAGAGUUCCAUCUGCAGAUCCCUUGGUCCUUCAGUGCCACCACAACUCCAACACUUGCUGCCACAAUAGCCUUGCUUGCACUUGAUGAACUCAUCGUGAUUAUGAUUUCUCCUCUCUUCUCUUCUCUACUAGAUUUUUCUGUCUUUGAUUUUUUUGAACUCUUCAGUUGGUAUGUGAAUGUGUAAGUGUCUGAUGAAGAAGAUGAGCAAAGAGUGCUUCGUUAUAUAGGGGAUUAGAAACGGUGUGCUUUUUUGUCCGUC